rnacentral:rRNA from 1 species
CGGUCCAGACUCCUACGGGAGGCAGCAGUGGGGAAUAUUGCACAAUGGGCGAAAGCCUGAUGCAGCCAUGCCGCGUGUAUGAAGAAGGCCUUCGGGUUGUAAAGUACUUUCAGUUGUGAGGAAGGGGGUAACGUUAAUAGCGUUAUCUCUUGACGUUAGCAACAGAAGAAGCACCGGCUAACUCCGUGCCAGCAGCCGCGGUAA